CGACCGCCCCUGCAUUCAUCAUCUUCACACGCCUUCCUCCUCAGAAAUCCCAGCAAAUACGAAAAUCUCAUCCAACUACCCUGAAAAACCCAUACCCUGCAGACCCAUCACCCUCACGUCUCCUUUCCCCCAUUUUAAGGGAUUUUUUUUUCAAAGCUUUCGAGGAUUGUCUGGAAAAGGGGUAGAAAAAAUUCAAAAAAGGGAAAUUCAAAAUUUCACCCGAUUUCCUCCGAAUUUCCAGCUAUAUAUUGACUCUCUUUUGAUCACUGUUUUGGGAGGGAGAAGGAAGCACAAUAAUUUCUUAUUAGAUAUUCAAGAAUAGGUUUAUAUUUUCCCUCUCGUUUGCCCUAACUGGAAUUUUUCCGAACUCAUAGAAGGUUUAUUUGUGGUGGUGUAUAGCUUCAAGGUUAAGCUCGACGUCUCAGUUUCGCUGCUUCGUAAGAAAGGUUAAUUCUACUUCUUCUUUUUCGGUUCUUCUUUAUUUCUUGCUUGUAUGUUUAGAUUUAGUCUUUUGAAGUUUGAUUUGUAGUUCUUAUUUAUGUCUUCUAUUAGAUUAAAUCUAUUGUUAAAAGUGCUUUGUGAAUUUCUAUUUAAUAUUUGCUCAUACUAUUACGUCACUAUUAUGAUUAUGUUCAUAUCAAUUUUUAUUUUUUUAUUUUUUUCUUUUCUCUUUGAUUGUGGGAUCGUCCAAAUGCACUUGACUUUUCAUGGUUAAUGGAGAGUCUUGUUUGCAUUGGAGUUUGUUGUUUGUUCAUUCUUAUUCCUUAGCAUUUAAAUAUAUUUGUAGGCAUUGAAUGAUCUGAGGUUGAAGCAUAUGCUAUGCUAUUGUAUGUUAACUUGGAAUGGUUGUGCUGCCUUAAGACUUGUCACUUUGUUGGUUUCUUUGAAAAGCAUAUUUCUAUAGUAUGAUUUGUAUGGUGCUUGGCCAUUUUUUAUGGUGUAGCAGUAGCCCAUUGCUGAGUUUUAUUUAUUAUAGUUCAAUUAUUUUGGGCUUGAUCAUGAAUAAGCUAGAGUUACAAGGAACACAUAUAUUUUGGUUUGUCAAUGCUAUCCAUUGCUAGUUCAUAACCAAUUAGUUUUCCUUUUUGUCAUAUAUAUAUAUAUAAANNN
rnacentral:lncRNA from 1 species